rnacentral:rRNA from 1 species
UACGUAGGGGGCAAGCGUUGUCCGGAAUCAUUGGGCGUAAAGAGCGUGUAGGCGGCCUGGUAAGUCCGCUGUGAAAGUCCAGGGCUCAACCCUGGGAUGCCGGUGGAAACUGUCAGGCUCGAGUCCGGAAGAGGCGAGUGGAAUUCCUGGUGUAGCGGUGGAAUGCGCAGAUAUCAGGAAGAACACCCGUGGCGAAGGCGGCUCUCUGGAACGCAACUGACGCUGAGACGCGAAAGCGUGGGGAGCAAACAGG